AACUUGUACUGUGAAACUGCGAAUGGCUCAUUAAAUCAGUUAUCGUUUAUUUGAUAGUACCUUACUACAUGGAUACCUGUGGUAAUUCUAGAGCUAAUACAUGCUAAAAACCCCGACUUCAGGAAGGGGUGUAUUUAUUAGAUAAAAAACCAACGCCCUUCGGGGCUCCUUGGUGAAUCAUAAUAACUUAACGAAUCGCAUGGCCUUGCGCCGGCGAUGGUUCAUUCAAAUUUCUGCCCUAUCAACUUUCGAUGGUAGGAUAGUGGCCUACCAUGGUGGCAACGGGUAACGGGGAAUUAGGGUUCGAUUCCGGAGAGGGAGCCUGAGAAACGGCUACCACAUCCAAGGAAGGCAGCAGGCGCGCAAAUUACCCAAUCCCGAUACGGGGAGGUAGUGACAAUAAAUACUGAUACGGGGCUCUUUUGGGUCUCGUAAUUGGAAUGAGAACGAUUUAAAUCCCUUAACGAGGAACAAUUGGAGGGCAAGUCUGGUGCCAGCAGCCGCGGUAAUUCCAGCUCCAAUAGCGUAUAUUAAAGUUGUUGCAGUUAAAAAGCUCGUAGUUGAACCUUGGGCCUGGCUGGCCGGUCCGCCUCACCGCGAGUACUGGUCCGGCUGGGCCUUUCCUUCUGGGGAACCUCAUGGCCUUCACUGGCUGUGGGGGGAACCAGGACUUUUACUGUGAAAAAAUUAGAGUGUUCAAAGCAGGCCUUUGCUCGAAUACAUUAGCAUGGAAUAAUAGAAUAGGACGUGUGGUUCUAUUUUGUUGGUUUCUAGGAACCCGCCGUAAUGAUUAAUAGGGAUAGUCGGGGGCGUCAGUAUUCAGCUGUCAGAGGUGAAAUUCUUGGAUUUGCUGAAGACUAACUACUGCGAAAGCAUUCGCCAAGGAUGUUUUCAUUAAUCAGGGAACGAAAGUUAGGGGAUCGAAGACGAUCAGAUACCGUCGUAGUCUUAACCAUAAACUAUGCCGACUAGGGAUCGGACGGGAUUCUAUAAUGACCCGUUCGGCACCUUACGAGAAAUCAAAGUUUUUG
rnacentral:rRNA from 1 species